UUUUGGGUGAAAAAGUUGAAACCCUUAUUGGAGUUAUUGGAGGAUCACAGCCUUUCCCAAAAUUUGAAAUUCUUGAUGAAUGGGAGGAAACAACAAAAUAGAGUCAUGACUCAUGAUUUCAUCUUGCAAAGAGCAUGAAGUCUGGAAAUUAGAUCGGCCAGUUAAAAGGUGAUUAUCAAACAAAUUCUCCAUACAUAAUCAAGGUGGAACUGCUAGCUGCUAAGAAUCUCAUUGCUGCUAAUCUGAAUGGCACAUCAGAUCCAUAUGCAAUUGUCACCUGUGGGACACAAAA